AUACUUACCUUCAUGGGGGUGCUGGGGAUCAAGAAAUCCGGCAUCCAGAGUGGGAGGCCUGCAUUGCACAUCGCGGAGUCGACCGCUCUCGAUUGUCCUUCGGGACCAUCGCUGUGGCAAUUUUUGAUUUUUCACACUUUUCAUUGUGCC
rnacentral:snRNA from 1 species